GACGAACGCUGGCGGCGUGCUUAACACAUGCAAGUCGAACGGAAAGGCCCUGCUUUUGUGGGGUGCUCGAGUGGCGAACGGGUGAGUAACACGUGAGUAACCUGCCCUUGACUUUGGGAUAACUUCAGGAAACUGGGGCUAAUACCGGAUAGGAGCUCCUGCUGCACGGUGGGGGAUGGAAAGAUUCGGCGGUUGUGGAUGGUUUGGCGGCUUAUCAGCUUGUUGGUGGGGUAGUGGAUUACCAAGGCUUUGACGGGUAGCCGGCCUGAGAGGGUGACCGGCCACAUUGGGACUGAGAGACGGCCCAGACUCCUACGGGAGGCAGCAGGGGGGAAUAUUGCACAGUGGGCGGAAGCCUGAUGCAGCAACGCCGCGUGCGGGAUGACGGGCUUCGGGUUGUAAACCGCUUUCGCCGGUGACGAAGCGUGAGUGACGGUAAUGGGUAAAGAAGCACCGGCUAACUACGUG
rnacentral:rRNA from 1 species